AUUGAACGCUGGCGGCAUGCCUUACACAUGCAAGUCGAACGGCAGCACGGGUGCUUGCACCUGGUGGCGAGUGGCGAACGGGUGAGUAAUACAUCGGAACAUGUCCUGUAGUGGGGGAUAGCCCGGCGAAAGCCGGAUUAAUACCGCAUACGAUCUACGGAUGAAAGCGUGGGACCUUCGGGCCUCGCGCUAUAGGGUUGGCCGAUGGCUGAUUAGCUAGUUGGCGGGGUAAAGGCCUACCAAGGCGACGAUCAGUAGCUGGUCUGAGAGGACGACCAGCCACACUGGGACUGAGACACGGCCCAGACUCCUACGGGAGGCAGCAGUGGGGAAUUUUGGACAAGGGGCGAAAGCCUGAUACAGCAAUGCCGCGUGUGUGAAGAAGGCCUUCGGGUUGUAAAGCACUUUUGUCCGGAAAGAAAUACUUGGCCCUAAUACGGUCGGGGGAUGACGGUACCGGAAGAAUAAGCACCGGCUAACUACGUG
rnacentral:rRNA from 1 species